GUCUGAAUAAAUAGACAAAACUCCCAAAUUUCCCUUACUUUGUAAUUAUUAUAAUCACAGUUCAAGUGUGUUCAUUGUGUUCUGCUUGAAUAUAUGUCAUUGACUAACUGUACUGACAUUUCUGUUUUAUGGAUAUUGCUUUGACAUAGUAAUCUCUCAAAACAAAUAACUUAUAAUUGUAAUCUAGAGAAAUGCAUCUCAUGUAAAGCAGCUCUGAAAUGAUAAGCAAUACAUAAUGCUCUACACAAAUAAACUUGAUUUGAAUUAAAUUAAACCUUAGGCUUGUUUUGAUUGCUACUAUGCAUUCCUGAUCAGUCACUGUGCAUUUGCAUGAAGUUUGCUUAGAUUUGUCGCAAAUUUAGGUCUUAAGUAACCUCACGAACUAUGGGUUCAACUUGCUCUUUUGCUGCAAAUCGCUAUCAGUGCGAAUGCCCUUUAAUGUGAUUAGCAUAUGCUAACAGCUUCUGGUUCUUUCUAGCAUAACCAGUCAUUGCCGAAUUUGAAAAGGUUAGUAAUGUCCAAUUCGUGUUUGUUUUGUUUUGUUUUGUUUGUUUUGGCAAAAAGAGAAGGCUGACUUGUUCAGGACUCUGCUCUCAGAUCACACACGAGGAUGGAGGGGUAAACGAACAAAUGGAUGGUGGGGCACUGUGAAGAUUUGAAUGGCCAAUGUCUGAAGAUGAAGAACAAAUAGAAACAGAAAGAGACAGAAUUGAGACAAGGUGGCUUAGGAUUAACUUUGGAGGAACCAGAAGAAGCAUAAGAAGUACUGAAGAAGGAAAUUUUGUUUGCCCUUAAAAUGGAGGGUGAAUCGGUUUAUAAAUCGUCGAUGGGGCGCAUGUAGAUUUUUUGCACACAACUAUUCUCAUCCUCUCUAACAGCCCACUCCUCAUCCCUGUAUCUCUCUCUUUUCUUCUGUUGCUCUCUCUCCCUUUCUCUCAGCUCAGCGUGCAUUGUGCUUUGAAGUCACCACUUUGACAAGUCAACCCUGAUGUAUUAUUCAAGAAGACUGUCGCACAGUAUCCCUCUUCUCUCUUCUUCACAGUUAUUCUCUGGCUGUCUUUCUAUUUCUCUAUUUUUCUUUUGUUCUCAAACAUAAUAUAUGAAUGUAUGAACUUAGAUAAGGAGGCAGACAGGAACUGAGCACUACUAUUGUGCUGUUCACAGGAAUAAUGGGGCCUGAUUGCUCACGGGUGCCUGUGUUUGUUAAAUAUUGUGUUGUGAAACAAUCAUCUCAAGAAUUAAUGCGUGUGCGUGAUAUGGAUAAUGCUGUCGGUUUUUAUGAGCUUACUGUGGUCAGAGUGUAUUAGUCAGGCAGUAGUGUUUUAAGACUAUGAAUGUGUCAGUGAGCGUUGGUAUCAUUCAGCGUGUGUGCGCAAAACUGUUGCUCCCUGGCACAGGGUCUCAUUCUCACCGCAAAGAUUGUUCUGGCAUGUCUUCUUAAAGCAGACAGAUAUGUCAUAACUGAACAUUUCAGAGAUCGAGAGAGAGGAAGAGAGGGUGUAUUCAACAGGCCUGUCAACACAACUCAAUAUCACUCUUAGUCUGAGGCUCAGAAGACACACCCAUGGACCACCCACAGUCCAUUCACUGACCAUCUGAUGCAUAAUAUGCACAAAGCUGUCUUGAUCUUGCAAACUAAAUCUGAUUCACUGACUUAAUGCAACUUUAAGAGCAAUAGCGCAAUGGGAUCUAUCUGUUUGACUGGAAGUCUUGUAUGCAAGGUAUUGGGUUUAUAGAACAAGUGAUUCUGUGGAUACAAUUAUUACUGGAAUUGUCAAUGCUUGUGAGGUAAGUGGUUUCAGAUAUAUAAAAUAUAUUCAAGGUCAGACGUACCAAAUCUUUUUUUUUCUUUUUCUUUCUCUUUUUUUUUUUUUUUUUUGAGGCAUCUUGGUAACCAUGAGAAGAACGUUGAAUUCAACUUUGUGUAAUAAUCAUUACUCAUUGCUAAUCUAAAGAUGGAAAAAUCAUAGUCUAUAUACAUUUGCCACUGUUCCUAUUGGAAUUUCCAUGAUGGAUUAACAUUGGCAUGAAAUUGAUCCUAUCUAUUUUGUAAAUGUAUUCGUCCACAAAAAUUACAUAACUUUAUGAUAACUCAAAAUAACUUGAUUUUCUUGGGAAACAAAUGACUUCUCUCUGGCGAUGUAUAUCAGACUUCUCAGCAUCAUUUAGUCCAUUUAAACACAAUCCAACCUUAACUGACUACAAGUUUUCAUUUCAUUUUUGAGUAAAUCAGCCACAUAUCAAAAUCCUAACAAUGACUGAUGGUUAAAAUGAAGUACCUGGAGUACAUACAUUUUCAAUAGUACAUACAGAAUAAGAGAGGAAAUAGAAGAAAUCACAAAUUAUCAUAAGAAAACUCUACUUUAAAUGCUGUUUUUCCCACUGGCCUUUUAUUGUGGUGUCUUCCAAUCGUCUAUCUUCUAAUAAUAAUAAAAACACUUCUAAACUACACAUAAAAUUGAGCUGUGAUCAGUCAUAUUUCGUAUUACUUUUGAGUUUUUCUUCACAUUACAAUCCUCCUCUCUUCUUUUAGUUUUUUCUUUGAGUUUUUAGGUAUUUUUCCUCACAUUUCUACCCUUAUACACCGUUUCUACUUGUCUUCUGUCCUCUCAGUCUGGAUUCUUAGCUGACGUGUCUCUUUUCUGUUUUGGCGUGAUGGCGUCUCCCUUCUGCCAGAUCUCCACUCUGUCCCAGAACAGCCAGGACACCACACGUGUGCCAGCCAGCCGGCGACAUCGAGACAGAGACACCGUGUAUGUGUGAAAGAGAGGAACAAAGACUCCGCAGAUGGAGAGACAAACAGGAGAAGUGGAAAGAUACAGAGAACACAAACGGGUGAUCUGACAGUGGAAAGAAUGAGAAAACGCACAGUUGCACAUGGGAUCGGGGGCAAUAGAUGAUAGACCAACAUUACCUGGACCCUCUCCUUUGGAUGAAAAAGCAUGGAUAUUCCAGGUCUUUGUAAGAGACAGACCAACAAUUCACUCCAUAAACCCUUAUAAGUAACCCAGAUCCACUGGUUUCAAGGUUUUAAUUAUUGGGUCAAACCUUCUACAGAAAUAUGAAAGGUGUCCUGUGACCUCUUUGGAACCAAAGCUGUUGGUGACUUCACAGAUGUAGUUUCCAGAGUCUUCCAGACGGAGAUCACUGAUUGUGAGGCCAGUUAGUCGCCGUGUCCAGCGGGAAUCAGCAGGAAGUGGCCUCCCAUCUUUCAAC